ACAGAUAUAAGGCAGCAUGAAUAGUUAGUACUUGGUGUAUCUGCUGAUCAAUGUGUUUGUAAAAGAGAUGAGGCUGUAUAUCACCAGGUCUACUGCUGAAUGAUGGAAGGUUUACAGCUAAACAAUCCUAUGGUUGGAAUCAAUAUCCAGGGACAGCUCUCCCUUAAAGGGCCAAGUGUUGUGACCUUGUUAUUUGGCCAACAAAGGACAUAAAAGUCCUAAAGAUAGUUAUGAAGAAAGUUAUAUUGACUAUUAAACAUUUCAUCAAUUUAAAUUGAAUAAAGUACAUCAUGUAUAAUUUAAUACAUUCCAUAAUAACUUUGUUUCUACAUGCACAUGAAUAAAAAAAACACUUGAGUAUGGUCACAAAGAGAUAGUCAGUGAUCUACAAUUAUUACCCUGAAUGCAUGUAAGAAGCUUUAUGUGAAUGCUUUUUUUAUUAAUGAUUAAUGAAAACAUAUGCAUAGGUUAAGGUCUUUAAGUUGUUUCUGAGUGUAUACCUUGGAUGGUACAUGUUUGUACUGACUGUAUAUUCACUUUGUCUUAAGUGUCAAAACUAUAGCUAAAUCAAAUAUUUAUAUUUCUUGUAGUGAUAACUUUACUGAAUCAUUCUCUUGAAUAACAUUAUGAAAUGUUUGAUUCAUUUUCAAAACUUGAAAAGAAUACACAGCAAAAUGAUGUUCUUCUCUGUAUUCAAUUUGAUUAAAGUGACUUUACAAAAACAAAGAUUUAUGUAUUACAAUUCAUCUGAAAGUAAAAUAACAUGAGAUAAAUCAAAGUAACAUGUGUGUUUAUAUUGAUAUUUAUUGAUUUAUUGUUACUUGAAUGCAUUAAAAAUUGUUUGGAUGAAUAUUAAAAACAACAAAGAAAAUAACACAAAAGGGACAAUAAUGAAAAUAAACAAUCAGAACAAAAAGCUGUGAGACUUUCUACAGAAUUCCCUGGAAGUGACAUUUUAUAUUUAAUGUUCUAAAUUUAUUAUUUGUCUUAACUGCUCUUGUCUGAAUAGUGUCUUAACUGCUCUUGUCUGAAUAGUACCCUGUGUCUGUUAAAACAUAUUGUUUUUAUAAUGUUAUAUAGUUUCAAGAUUGUUUUCUAGCAGAUAUGUACAUCAAUUCUAAACAGGUAUUAUUAAAAAUUAAUAUGAAUUAAAAAAAAUUGUAACAUGUCAUUUCAAUGUCAUAAUUUUCUUUUCAAUAUGUAUUCAUUGUCAUACUGGAAUAAUAAUAAAAGACUUUGUAACAUU